GGUGGUGUUUUUACACGGUCGGCUUAGAUAAAAAAAAAACUGGACAAGUUGAAACGCAAUGUCGUAACACUUUUGCUUUAUUCAUUCAUUGAAGCAAAAUUCGGAGAAGUGACAACGUCCCACAGGUUUCACCUGACAACGUUAUUAAGGUCCGCAGAACAGCUGAUUGUAUUGGUUUGACUUCGUACGAUACAAUGGCCAAACGUUUUCACCAUCAAAGGCUUCAGCAGGUUUCCGGUACCGGAAGAACGCUUGCUGUGUUUUAAAGGCCGAUUCGUUUACAUUCGGUUCAUGCAGUGUAUCGUACGCAGGAGAUGCCCCAGGAUUUGCCCGAGUCGUCCUAUCCGUCGCUGUACCGUCUUUUCUUCAUCCGAUCGGAAUGCCCCCAGAUUCGAAACGGUCGACGUGACACCGGCUGCUGCGGUUAGUUCCCGUCGACGUCUUCACGUUUCCAUGCCGGUCCAUGAUGUUUAUGCAGUUUCUAUUUUGUUGUUAUUGGUGGUAGUAUUGCUCUCAUUGUACCUAUUGUUACUUGUUAGUGUUGUUUCUGCCAUUAGAAAAAUCCAUACGACGUAAAAGAAUCACUUGAGGAAAAUUUACUGCCAUGCGCAAUAGAGUCCUGCGGUACGGGGGCUACUGCAGCCGCCGUUGCCUAGAAAAACAGACGGAACUGCAUCUGUCCCCGAUACGGCGAUAUGGAAGCGGC